CCAUCUUCCUACCCCUGAGUGCACCGCUGUUCCACAUGACAAAACGAAACCUGUCGUGGAACGUAGGCGGAAAGCUGUUGCCUGCAAGAGGAGACCUGCAAAGCACCAGGUUGAGGCAACACCCAGUGUUGUGGAGGUGUGUCCC